rnacentral:rRNA from 1 species
ACGGAGGGUGCAAGCGUUGUCCGGAAUCAUUGGGCGUAAAGAGUUCGUAGGUGGCAUAUUAAGUCUGGUGUUAAAGGCAGAAGCUCAACUUCUGUAGGGCACUGGAUACUGGUAAGCUUGAAUGUGGUAGAGGUAAAGGGAAUUCCUGGUGUAGCGGUGAAAUGCGUAGAUAUCAGGAGGAACAUCGGUGGCGAAAGCGCUUUACUGGGCCAUUAUUGACACUGAGGAACGAAAGCCGGGGUAGCAAAUGG